CCUACGGGAGGCAGCAGUGGGGAAUAUUGGACAAUGGGCGCAAGCCUGAUCCAGCCAUGCCGCGUGAGUGAUGAAGGCCCUAGGGUUGUAAAGCUCUUUCGACGGGGACGAUAAUGACGGUACCCGUAUAAGAAGCCCCGGCUAACUUCGUGCCAGCAGCCGCGGUAAUACGAAGGGGGCUAGCGUUGCUCGGAAUCACUGGGCGUAAAGCGCACGUAGGCGGACUUUUAAGUCGGAGGUGAAAUCCCAAGGCUCAACCUUGGAACUGCCUUCGAUACUGGGAGUCUUGAGUCCGGAAGAGGUGAGUGGAACUCCGAGUGUAGAGGUGAAAUUCGUAGAUAUUCGGAAGAACACCAGUGGCGAAGGCGGCUCACUGGUCCGGUACUGACGCUGAGGUGCGAAAGCGUGGGGAGCAAACAGGAUUAGAUACCCUGUAGUCCACGCCGUAAACGAUGAAUGCUAGCCGUUGGGGAGCUUGCUCUUCAGUGGCGCAGUUAACACUUUAAGCAUUCCGCCUGGGGAGUACGGUCGCAAGAUUAAAACUCAAAAGGAAUUGACGG
rnacentral:rRNA from 1 species